rnacentral:rRNA from 1 species
AUUGAACGCUGGCGGCAUGCUUUACACAUGCAAGUCGAACGGUAACAGGCCGCAAGGUGCUGACGAGUGGCGAACGGGUGAGUAAUGCAUCGGAACGUGCCCAGUCGUCGGGGAUAACGCAGCGAAAGCUGCGCUAAUACCGCAUACGAUCUCUGGAUGAAAGCGGGGGACCGAAAGGCCUCGCGCGAUUGGAGCGGCCGAUGUCAGAUUAGGUAGUUGGUGGGGUAAAGGCCCACCAAGCCAACGAACUGUAGCUGGUCUGAGAAGACGACCAGCCACACUGGGACUGAGACACGGCCCAGACUCCUACGGGAGGCAGCAGUGGGGAAUUUUGGACAAUGGGCGCAAGCCUGAUCCAGCAAUGCCGCGUGCAGGAAGAAGGCCUUCGGGUUGUAAACUGCUUUUGUACGGAACGAAACGGUCCGGGCUAAUACCCUGGGCUAAUGACGGUACCGUAAGAAUAAGCACCGGCUAACUACGUGCCAGCCGCCGCGGUAAUAC